GGGCUUCAAAACCGCCGCGAGUGCCCCUAUAUUGCGAGUGCCGGUCGCAAGGCCGGCUAUGGCGAUAAACGUUCUUCGGAAUAAACCUAUCGGACCCGGGGGCGGUACCCGGCGCCUCCACCCGAACCCGAACCGGUCCACACGGGCCGGGUUCCGGCGGGGGCGAAAUAGGAUCGACGAGGGCGUAAAGGUUGGACUUUCGCUCGGCAUGGUUCCGCCGUUAUCGGGCCUUUGCAAUAGUUGCCAACGACAACUUUGCUCCGGUGGCGGUGGCCGCGUAAGCGGUCCCCAAGACCAAACGAAGUCCUGGCGGGUAGCACCGCAUAGGCGGGGUUCGGAGGCACCUGGCAACAGAAGCCUCCACU
rnacentral:tmRNA from 1 species